UAAGCAGAUAGUGAAGCGUGCGGCUCAACCGCAUAUCCAUUAUUGAACUGCUAAGCUAGAGGGCGAGAGAGGUUACUAGAAUUGCUAGUGUAGGAGUGAAAUCCGUAGAUAUUAGCAGGAAUACCGAUGGCGUAGGCAGGUAACUGGCUCGUCCCUGACACUAAGGCACGAAAGCGUGGGAGCGACCGGGAUUAGAUACCCCGUUAGUCCACGCCGUAAACGAUGGAUGCUA
rnacentral:rRNA from 1 species